rnacentral:tRNA from 1 species
UCCCUUGUAGCUCAGUCGGUAAAGAAUCUGCCUGCAAUGCAGGAGACCCAGGUUCGAUCCCUGGGUCGGGAA